UUACGUAUGUUAGUAGAACUCGUGUGUCAAUUUCAACCGUUAUAAUAUACAUAGUAAUUGAAAGACAUAGGUAUAUAAAGCUAAUUUUAUUCAUCUUUAAUUUGGAGAGAUGAUGGCGAAUCUACGACCAUUAUAAAGCCCAGACUCCACCAGUCCCAUGUACCAGUACGACGAAUUUGAAAAUAAUAUCACGGAUAAAGUGUUUCGCCCAAUUUGCUAACUGAGGCGAUACAAACAUAGGCUCUGAUUAGUAGGAUCAGUAUUUCAUGAAAUGGUUACAGUUGGAAGACCAGAAGCGAUUUGCCAAGAACUGACAGUUACAGAUCAUCCAGUUAUUUCAUUCACACAUAAUUUAAAAGCGAAUGGUUAUAUAUAUAUUACCAGCAGAAAAUAUGAUAGAUAAUUUACCAACCUCAUCUACUGAUAAAAACAAUACUGACACAUCACCUAUUUUUUGAGGAACUGGAUCCAACAAGAAUUAAUGCCAAUUCGUUAUGGAGGGGGAAUAAAUUCUACUUUAGACUGUGAUAUUACAGUCA